AGAUGGCGACCGGCGCACGGGUGAGUAACACGCAUCCAACCUGCCGAUAACUCCGGAAUAGCCUUUCGAAAGAAAGAUUAAUACCGGAUGGCAUACGAAUAUCGCAUGAUAUUUUUAUUAAAGAAUUUCGGUUAUCGAUGGGGAUGCGUUCCAUUAGUUUGUUGGCGGGGUAACGGCCCACCAAGACUACGAUGGAUAGGGGUUCUGAGAGGAAGGUCCCCCACAUUGGAACUGAGACACGGUCCAA
rnacentral:rRNA from 1 species